rnacentral:lncRNA from 1 species
CUGUCCUCAGAUCUCGAGGGGCACCCACCGUCCCAGCAGCAUUUUCUUCCUUGUCCACAGCGUGGCUCAGAGCAGCCUGUGGAGCCCCUCUCUGCCCAGAUGUGGCCUUUGGGGCCCCCAGAUGGACGGUGAAUUAACUAAGGCCACCCAGGGGCGCCGAGUCCUUUGCGGAGGCUGAGCAAGGCCUCGGAGCUGCUGUAGGGACAUCAAUCUGUAUUUUCUGUGGGGAGAACGGCCAGGAAGAAAGGCACACUUGCCACUUAAUGUAACUAAAUGUCAUCGCCCGCCCCCGUGUUGCCGCUCAACAGAGAGCAACGGGUGGGGGUGGGGAGCGACCGCCCCGUCACCUGACUCAUGACCCUCGCCUCCUGUUUAUCAUAAACCCAUCCUCAGCUCCACAGAGUGCGCUAAUUGGGGUGGCUGGUGACGUAGGCCUGUGAUUUAGGAGCUGACACUUCUGUCCAGGGGCGGCUCGGCCUGGGUCCUGCAGGGGGAUGGAGAGGCCACGGCGGGUUCCCACGUGGUUCCACUUGGAGGCCCCUCCUCGGGAAUCGAGCCUGUGGCUCUGGGUGGUCUGGGUGCAUGGGGGCACUCGUAGGUGGUGGCCUAGAGAUGGACAGCGUUCUCCGCGACUCCCCUCCAGGGCACUGGCUGCUUCCUGGGUGACUACCAUCCAGGAAGUCCCGGGGGAGGGGGUCGUGGACAGUACAGGUGGGCCCUGCCUGCAGACCCUCCCAGCCUCACCACGGGACCCUCCUAUUCCUGGGUGGAAGGCAGGUGCAGGGGGCGUCUGCAGCCCCCACCUGGCCCUCCUGUGGGCACCUUAGUGAUAGGCUUCCUCACUCUCAACAGGCAGGCAGAAGUCAGACGGCCACAAGGACAGGUCAUUUGGGGACCAGUGGCCUGGACAGACAGAUUGAAAGUAGGUGUGGCUUUGGGAACAAAAAGAAGCAAAAGUCUGGUCAUCGAGGGGCGGUUGCUGACCCAGGCGCCCGAGCCGUCCCCCACCAGCGGAGAGCGGAGAGCGUGCUCAGAGAAGGGCCCCCUCGCCCGCUUCCCCGCCUCCGGCUCCUGCCUGGCUCUCCUUCCUUUCUGUGGCUCUUUUUAUUAAUUUGAAAGGUAAAAAGCCAAAGCUCUAUGGAAUCCCACCUUCUCCCCACCCCCUAUAGUUUAUUAAAAAACCCAAUGCCUAGCAAAUCACUUUGAUGAGCAACUAAGUGCCCUCCUGUGAGCCUGUGGCGGCUCAGCUGACAGACGGCGGGGGCUGGGCAGCCCCUGUUCCCCCUGCCCCAGGCCCAGCUCCGUCCGCGACGGCUGCCCACUCCCGUGGACGAGGUGGUGUCUCCAUUUGUCAGUCUCGGGAGGAAUGAUGGUUUAUGUUCCAGCACUGAGUGUUUUUAUUUGCCAAUAUCUUCUCCUCUCCAUGAGAACCGUUGGUUCAUAACUUCUGUUAUUGCACAAUAUUAUUUACCGACCUCGGCGUAAGGGACGCCAGCUGGGGGAAUAUUUGUUUGCACGGCCCCCACCCCCAUCUCUAAAUAGAGUUUCCUGGGGAUUCUGAAGGGCAGCAUCCAUCAGGCUUCGCCGUGGCGAGCGGGGGAAGCCGGUCUCGGUCCUGUUUUCUGAGCAUUCACUCUCCAUUGUGUCCACUGUGUUGUCCUGAGGAUGAAGAGCUCUUAUCCCACUGUCCAGUGCCCCCACCAAGGACCUGCCUGAGUUACCAAGCAGCUGGCUCCCGAGAGGCCUGCUGUGCUGCCCCCGCUGCCCCCUUCCACCAGCUUCAUUUCCUGCUGCCCUGUAGGUGUCCAGUUCUGCCAGAGGUGGUGGACCGUCCAGUCAGUGUUGACAUCGCGGGCUCCUCCUCUGGAGGAUGAGGUCACCCAGGUACCAAGAGCAUCCUUUUCUUUAAAAAGCUGAACACCAAAGCUCAUAUCUAACUCUAUUCUCCCUGAAGUUGAAUUUAUUGAUACAAGUGGUCUUACAAGAGUCCAAAUUUAAGCCAUCCUCGUGACGGAUCCUUUAUUUAAAAGAAUAAAG